CGAGAGGCUGAUUGUACCUUCCUUUCUGAACAUAGAAGAAAGGAAAGAGUAUACUUUUCGUCCCUCAACCAUCGUUAAUUUAUUUUUUGUCUCUCUGGCUAUUGCUGGUAUAUUUCUAGUCUCUCGACUAUUUUUUGCCCCUGAGCAAUUGCUAAUUAUUUUUUACAUUUACAAUUUAUGGAAUCCUGAUUGUCUAACAAAAUUUAGGUAUUAUAUUUGUUCACUUUGACUACAGCACCAAAGUUGAAAAUUGGCAUGAUUUCAUUUAAGCUUAUGGACUAUUGGAGGGCCCCAGAUUCAGACAUCUGCUACGUAUGUGGACAGGACGAUCAUCCUGAGCAGUUUUGCCCUUACAACUACAUUUAUGGGUUGUAUGAUCAAGAUACUUGCAAAGGAGACUGUCUCCCUGGACAACACAUGAUGACUUCCAUGGAUUGUGGAAUUUUUUUGCGGCGUGUCAUACGUGUGAAUAACAUGCCACCAAGCUUCUGUACAUUGGACCUUUUGGAGCUCUUCAAACCGUACGGACCGCUACUGAUGUGCGACGUCCCAAUGGUGAGUCCUGGAGUGUGCAUGGCAUAUGGCGUUGUGAUCUUCAAGGAACGUGGGGAUGGAGAGAAGGCAAUUGACAGGCUCAACGGCUAUCUUGUAGGCGACAAUAAACUGCGAGUUGACUGGGCUUAUCCUCUUGUGCCUAGUGGAAGCAAGAUUUUUCCAUUCAUUAGUAUGACCCCUGCCUGUAGACUGAGGGAGAAACACCAGAUUGUGCCUACCACCGAGACGAUGACAAAGAGGAUUUUCAAAAAGCAGCCUCUGCUCCGAGUUGUGUUGAAUGAGCCGCUCGGUUGAACUUUCAUUCAAUCGGUUCCUGACCUUGCACUGUAUUUUUCAGGGGACGGAAAACAGCGAGCUGCUAGUUUUCUCUUUCCCAAGACUCGGAGAUUCUCCGUCUACUGUAAGACUCGGCGAAGAAAUAGUAUGGAAGAGCAGAAGGGUCAUUUUUUUAUUAGCACAGUGGCGAACAAUGAACCAGGGGAGGGACGAAAUGAAACAAAUCUGGAAACUGGUGCCAUCAGAGAUUUUUGGAGGGAUCCAGAUCCUAUAUUUUGCUGCAUCUGCGGAGAUGAGGAGCAAGAGCAUGUGGAGCUGACGUGCCCUUAUAACUAUCUACAUCCUGCUUCAUACGCCCCUUGCAAAGCCCGGCUUCUUUUGUGGCAAAAUGAAACUACAGAUAUUCGCUGCUUUGGCAGACCUGAAGAAGCCCCCAUACUCGAUGAAGUAACCUUAAGGCGUCUUGGGUUCCUGCGAUGUUUUGUGUGUGUGAAUAACUUGCCGAAGCAAUGCUGCCCAGAGCAACUCGCUGGUCUUUUUCUCCAAUUUGGACCGCUGCGGAAUUGGUAUGUAGCCUUCGAUGGCACUGGGACGUGUAGCGGGUUUGGUUAUAUGAUAUUCCAGCACCGUACCCAUGCAGAGGAAACCAUUGAGAUGCUCAAUUGCUAUGCCUUUGGUGACUGUAAACUGCGAGUCCAUUGGGCUUAUCCUUGUGCAUAGUGGAAUCAUAAGUUUCAGGCGGGACUUGAAUCAGAAACAGGAUGAAUUUCCCUUUUUUUCUUUUUGGAAGUGAAGUAGUGGGAUGACUAUAAACAGAAUAUGUGAUGGUGUUGCACAGUAAAAAGUAAACUGUUUGAGUUA